rnacentral:rRNA from 1 species
UACGUAGGGUGCAAGCGUUGUCCGGAAUUAUUGGGCGUAAAGAGCUCGUAGGCGGUUUGUCGCGUCUGCUGUGAAAUCCCGAGGCUCAACCUCGGGCCUGCAGUGGGUACGGGCAGACUGGAGUGCGGUAGGGGAGAAUGGAAUUCCUGGUGUAGCGGUGGAAUGCGCAGAUAUCAGGAGGAACACCGAUGGCGAAGGCAGUUCUAUGGGCCGUAACUGACGCUGAGGAGCGAAAGCGUGGGGAGCGAACAGG